GGGGGCCGCCGCCCGUGAUGGAGGAGGAGCCGCCGCCGCCAUCGCCCGCGGCGGCCCAGCUGACCCCCGGCUCUGAGGUGCGCGUCACGCUGGACCACAUCAUCGACGACGCGCUCGUGGUGUCGUUCCGCCUCGGGGAGAAGCUCUUCUCGGGGGUCCUCAUGGACCUGUCCAAAAGGUUCGGGCCUCACGGAAUUCCUGUGACGGUAUUUCCUAAAAGGGAAUAUAAGGAUAAACCCGAAGCCAUGCCGCUCCAAAGUAAAUCAUUCCAAGAAGGAACAGAAAUAAAGUGUGAAGUGAAUGGUACUGUUCCUGAGAACCCAUCUCCUAUCCAGCCCUCUGAACCUAACCUAGCUACAAGCCUCUGGACUUCCAAACCACCUCCUCUCUUCCAUGAAGGAGCACCUUAUCCUCCUCCUUUGUUUAUCAGGGACACAUAUAACCAAUCGAUACCUCAACCACCUCCUCGGAAAAUUAAGCGACCUAAGCGGAAAAUGUACAGGGAGGAACCCACUUCCAUAAUGAACGCUAUCAAACUACGACCCAGGCAGGUAUUGUGUGAUAAAUGUAAAAACAGUGUCGUGGCUGAGAAAAAGGAGAUGAAAAAGGGUGGAAAUGCAAAUGACUCUUCUAAAUAUGAGGAUAACAAAAAACGAAGACAUGAAAGUGUAACUACUGUGAAUAAAAAACUUAAAACUGACCCUAAGAUGGAGGGGAAAAACCAAAACGAAAGCCAGAAAAGAAACGCUGUGGUUAAAGUUUCGAAUAUUGCUCACAGCAGAGGCAGAGUAGUUAAAGUUUCUGCUCAGGCGAAUACUUCAAAAGCUCAGUUAAAUACUAAAAAAGUGCUUCAGAGUAAGAACAUGGAUCAUGCAAAAGCCCGGGAGGUGUUGAAAAUGGCCAAAGAGAAGGCACAAAAGAAACAGACCGAGACCUCCACGUCCAAAAACUCCCAUUCGAAGGUCCAUUUCACCCGUCGCUUUCAGAACACCAGCUCAGGUUCCCUCCCGCCUCGGUUGCGCUUAAAGCCCCAGAGGUACCGAAACGAAGAAAACGACUCUUCCCUGAAAGCGGGACUUGAGAAACUGCGGAGUGGCAAGAUGGCAGCCAAGCCCCAGUCUCGCUGUACUUCCACCCGCUCAGCAGGUGAGGCCCCUUCCGAAAAUCAGAGUCCCGCAAAAGGCCUGGAAGAGGCCGGCAGGGAGGUUCAGGACGCGAGUGAAGUGCAUGUGCCCGAGGAGCAGGAGGAACCGCAGACAUUGGGCAAAAAGGGCAGCAAAAGCAAUAUCACGGUUUACGUGAGCCUAAAUCAAAAGAAACCUGACUCUUCCAGUGCGUCAGUGUGUAGCAUUGAUAGCACAGAUGAUUUGAAAUCCUCCAACUCCGAGUGUAGUUCUACCGAGAGCUUUGAUUUUCCUCCAGGCAGUGUGCAUGCACCUUCCACCUCCUCCACUUCCUCCUCUUCGAAGGAAGAGAAAAAGCCCAGUAAUUCCUUGAAAAUGAAAGUCUUUUCCAAAAACGUCUCUAAGUGCGUCACGCCAGAUGGCAGGACCAUAUGCGUAGGGGACAUUGUCUGGGCCAAGAUUUACGGCUUCCCUUGGUGGCCAGCCCGUAUCCUUACCAUAACCGUGAGCCGGAAAGAUAACGGCCUCUUGGUCCGGCAGGAGGCCCGUAUCUCGUGGUUUGGGUCCCCCACGACGUCUUUCCUGGCUCUCUCGCAACUCUCCCCCUUUUUAGAAAACUUCCAGUCACGCUUUAAUAAGAAGAGAAAGGGCCUGUACCGCAAGGCUAUCACAGAGGCAGCAAAGGCUGCAAAGCAGCUGACUCCUGAAGUGCGGGCCCUGUUGACGCAGUUUGAAACGUGAACCGGGACAGAGAGGUGUCAACAAAUGGCAGCAUUUUACAUCAGACAGUGACGAGUCCUGCUGCUCCCAUACAGUGUCUGACAGACCACUGUGGAUUCAGAUUGGGAGCAAUCAUUGAAGUUAACAGUGAAACGGGCAGCACAAAGACAUUAGCAGGCCGGUGGUAUCACGACCCUCACUACACCGCCACAAAGAGCACCUGUUCAUCAGGGCUAAAGGAAAUAGAGAUUGGAUUUUUUUUUCUGUGAAACCUUCACCAAGAAGUGACUGUCGAUAAAAGGGAGAAGGGGGAGAGGACAGGUAAAAAACAAAACAAAAAAACAAAAAAUAAUGCACCUGCUAGGGACAGUUGUAUCUAUUGUAAAUUGUUUCUGCUAUAUUCAAGAAGUGGUGUUAAAAAGUAUUUUAUAAAACUUUUUGCAAUAAAUGAUGCAUGAAAUAAGGAGAAAAAGAUUUUGAAGUGCACAUCCAAGGACUCACUUGAAUCACUGACAGUACCUUCUUUUUGAUUGUGAAGUUCUUCUCAGUACAUUUGGACAGAUCCCGACGACAGGCAUCUUGCUGGAAUGAUGGCAGUAACUGUUGAGCUUUGUUUUUCAUCUAUAUAUUGUUGCAUUAUGCUUUUUCUGAUGCUUGUUUUAGUCUGUGCAAAGGUGUUCCUAAAUCAGCUGCAAUCUGAACAGGAACAGUCAUAUUGACUGAGACCAAAGUUUCCUAUCAGGGUGACAGAGAAUCCAAUACCGUAUCUGUCGAAAAAAUCAUGACUGCCCCUGCUUAUUCAUUCUCAUGUUUUCUCUCACUCCUGAAUAGAAAGUUAGCUUGUUAAGACUGUUCUUAAUUUAUUUGUUCCUGAUAUUUAACACUGUGGACGUAUUUGUGUGACUUCCAUCAUAUCUUUGAAGUUCUAAAUAGGAAUAGGGAGGUCACUAAACUUGAAGAGUUAGUGUGCAUCUAGGAAUAAGUAUACACCCAUUAACUGACUAAUUCCUCUUUGUGUGGAGUUGAGAGGGCUUUAACUAUUACUCAUUGGUAGUGCUUGAGCAUUUACUGUGCGCAGAGCACUGUACUAAGCGCUUG